AGCGUACACGGUGGAUGCCCUGGCAGUCAGAGGCGAUGAAGGACGUGCUAAUCUGCGAUAAGCGUCGGUAAGGUGAUAUGAACCGUUAUAACCGGCGAUUUCCGAAUGGGGAAACCCAGUGUGUUUCGACACACUAUCAUUAACUGAAUCCAUAGGUUAAUGAGGCGAACCGGGGGAACUGAAACAUCUAAGUACCCCGAGGAAAAGAAAUCAACCGAGAUUCCCCCAGUAGCGGCGAGCGAACGGGGAGCAGCCCAGAGCCUGAAUCAGUGUGUGUGUUAGUGGAAGCGUCUGGAAAGGCGCGCGAUACAGGGUGACAGCCCCGUACACAAAAAUGCACAUAUUGUGAGCUCGAUGAGUAGGGCGGGACACGUGGUAUCCUGUCUGAAUAUGGGGGGACCAUCCUCCAAGGCUAAAUACUCCUGACUGACCGAUAGUGAACCAGUACCGUGAGGGAAAGGCGAAAAGAACCCCGGCGAGGGGAGUGAAAAAGAACCUGAAACCGUGUACGUACAAGCAGUGGGAGCACGCUUAGGCGUGUGACUGCGUACCUUUUGUAUAAUGGGUCAGCGACUUAUAUUCUGUAGCAAGGUUAACCGAAUAGGGGAGCCGAAGGGAAACCGAGUCUUAACUGGGCGUUAAGUUGCAGGGUAUAGACCCGAAACCCGGUGAUCUAGCCAUGGGCAGGUUGAAGGUUGGGUAACACUAACUGGAGGACCGAACCGACUAAUGUUGAAAAAUUAGCGGAUGACUUGUGGCUGGGGGUGAAAGGCCAAUCAAACCGGGAGAUAGCUGGUUCUCCCCGAAAGCUAUUUAGGUAGCGCCUCGUGAAUUCAUCUCCGGGGGUAGAGCACUGUUUCGGCAAGGGGGUCAUCCCGACUUACCAACCCGAUGCAAACUGCGAAUACCGGAGAAUGUUAUCACGGGAGACACACGGCGGGUGCUAACGUCCGUCGUGAAGAGGGAAACAACCCAGACCGCCAGCUAAGGUCCCAAAGUCAUGGUUAAGUGGGAAACGAUGUGGGAAGGCCCAGACAGCCAGGAUGUUGGCUUAGAAGCAGCCAUCAUUUAAAGAAAGCGUAAUAGCUCACUGGUCGAGUCGGCCUGCGCGGAAGAUGUAACGGGGCUAAACCAUGCACCGAAGCUGCGGCAGCGACGCUUAUGCGUUGUUGGGUAGGGGAGCGUUCUGUAAGCCUGUGAAGGUGUGCUGUGAGGCAUGCUGGAGGUAUCAGAAGUGCGAAUGCUGACAUAAGUAACGAUAAAGCGGGUGAAAAGCCCGCUCGCCGGAAGACCAAGGGUUCCUGUCCAACGUUAAUCGGGGCAGGGUGAGUCGACCCCUAAGGCGAGGCCGAAAGGCGUAGUCGAUGGGAAACAGGUUAAUAUUCCUGUACUUGGUGUUACUGCGAAGGGGGGACGGAGAAGGCUAUGUUGGCCGGGCGACGGUUGUCCCGGUUUAAGCGUGUAGGCUGGUUUUCCAGGCAAAUCCGGAAAAUCAAGGCUGAGGCGUGAUGACGAGGCACUACGGUGCUGAAGCAACAAAUGCCCUGCUUCCAGGAAAAGCCUCUAAGCAUCAGGUAACAUCAAAUCGUACCCCAAACCGACACAGGUGGUCAGGUAGAGAAUACCAAGGCGCUUGAGAGAACUCGGGUGAAGGAACUAGGCAAAAUGGUGCCGUAACUUCGGGAGAAGGCACGCUGAUAUGUAGGUGAAGUCCCUUGCGGAUGGAGCUGAAAUCAGUCGAAGAUACCAGCUGGCUGCAACUGUUUAUUAAAAACACAGCACUGUGCAAACACGAAAGUGGACGUAUACGGUGUGACGCCUGCCCGGUGCCGGAAGGUUAAUUGAUGGGGUCAGCGCAAGCGAAGCUCUUGAUCGAAGCCCCGGUAAACGGCGGCCGUAACUAUAACGGUCCUAAGGUAGCGAAAUUCCUUGUCGGGUAAGUUCCGACCUGCACGAAUGGCGUAAUGAUGGCCAGGCUGUCUCCACCCGAGACUCAGUGAAAUUGAACUCGCUGUGAAGAUGCAGUGUACCCGCGGCAAGACGGAAAGACCCCGUGAACCUUUACUAUAGCUUGACACUGAACAUUGAGCCUUGAUGUGUAGGAUAGGUGGGAGGCUUUGAAGUGUGGACGCCAGUCUGCAUGGAGCCGACCUUGAAAUACCACCCUUUAAUGUUUGAUGUUCUAACGUUGACCCCUAAUCGGGGUUGCGGACAGUGUCUGGUGGGUAGUUUGACUGGGGCGGUCUCCUCCUAAAGAGUAACGGAGGAGCACGAAGGUUGGCUAAUCCUGGUCGGACAUCAGGAGGUUAGUGCAAUGGCAUAAGCCAGCUUGACUGCGAGCGUGACGGCGCGAGCAGGUGCGAAAGCAGGUCAUAGUGAUCCGGUGGUUCUGAAUGGAAGGGCCAUCGCUCAACGGAUAAAAGGUACUCCGGGGAUAACAGGCUGAUACCGCCCAAGAGUUCAUAUCGACGGCGGUGUUUGGCACCUCGAUGUCGGCUCAUCACAUCCUGGGGCUGAAGUAGGUCCCAAGGGUAUGGCUGUUCGCCAUUUAAAGUGGUACGCGAGCUGGGUUUAGAACGUCGUGAGACAGUUCGGUCCCUAUCUGCCGUGGGCGCUGGAGAACUGAGGGGGGCUGCUCCUAGUACGAGAGGACCGGAGUGGACGCAUCACUGGUGUUCGGGUUGUCAUGCCAAUGGCACUGCCCGGUAGCUAAAUGCGGAAGAGAUAAGUGCUGAAAGCAUCUAAGCACGAAACUUGCCCCGAGAUGAGUUCU
rnacentral:rRNA from 1 species